UUGGUUUUAUAUAUAUAUAAUCUUCGACUACCUUAUAUAUAUAGAAUAUUUUUUUUAAAAAAAAAAAAAUAAUUAAAUUUGUGCAUGCUCAUGAAUAUUUAUAUAUAUAUAUAUUUAUAUAAAUAUAGUAAGUAGUGAAUAUGGUAGUGGGUAGCAGGUGGAAUGUGCGAAGACAAAGUAAAAGAAUAUAUAUAAGGUAAACAACUUUAAAUAAUUUAGAUGAGGUGCCAAACAUUAAAAGUUUCCAACUACUAUACCUCCAAAUAUAAUAUAUAUCUUUAUAUAUUAAAAGUGCCUAUCUAACGGCAUUUAUUGGUUUAACAGAAUAUACCUAAAAAAUAAAAGAAUAUUCUGUUAAAUUUAACGAUGUUAAUAUGUUUGAUCUCCCGUUAACAAAUAAAUAAACCCAAUAAUUAAACCCAAAAAAUUAAAAAAUAUUUUUUUAAAUAAAAAAAAAAUCAUCUUAGCCACAUAUCUCUCUAACAAACUGUAUAUUCCCAAUUUAACAAUCUUUUUUUAAAUAAAUAAAAAAAAUCAUCUUACCCACAUAUCUCUUUAACAAACUGUAUAUUCCCAAUUUUUGAAAUUUUUUUUGUUAUUUUUAAAAUUUACACGAUUUAUUUUAUGGGUACAGGAACAAGUGAAGGAAUUCCUCGUGUGAGCUGCUUGACUAAUCCUCUGAAGACAUGCGAGGUAUGAAUGCUCAUCAUUUAGGCCUAUGUACUUUUUCUGCACUUUCUGCAAGUUCAAAUUGAUUCCUUAUAUUUCUUACAAAAUAAAACUGCAUCUGGGAAAAGCAUCCUCAUUCGAUAUGCCACAACAUCUGGGAAAAGCAACAUCCUUAUAGAUGCAGGAAAAUUCUUCUACCACAGUGCUCUUCGAUGGUUUCCAGCCUAUGGGUUAGUUAUUAUCUUGUUUAGUGAUUAUUUAUUAUUUCAUUUUAAUUUAGUGGUGUAAUUUUCUGCUGGUCACACUAUCUAUCUGAGGGUCACAAUAUAUGUAUAUGUAGUGGUUACAUUUAUGAAAUGUCAAAUUCGCAUUGUGCAAAUAGCAAAACUAUCAUUGACUGUCCUUUU